rnacentral:rRNA from 1 species
CCCUUAGAUGUUCUGGGAUGCACGCGCGUUACACUGAUUCGUUCAACGAGUUUAUGACCUUGCCUGAUGAGGUGGGGGAAUCUUUUCAAAUCGCAUCGUGAUGGGGAUAGAGUAUUGUAACUGUUAGUCUUCAACGAGGAAUUCCUAGUAAGUACGUGUCAUCAGCUCGUACUGAUUAUGUCCCUGCCCUUUGUACACACCGCCCGUCGCUACUACCGAUUGAAUGAUUUAGUGAGGACUUCGGACUGGGACCGAUGCGGCUUUCGGGCUGCGUCGGUAUUCUGGAAAGAUGUCCAAACUGUAUCAUUUAGAGGAAGUAAAAGUCGUAACA